rnacentral:rRNA from 1 species
AAUCAACGCUGGCGGCGUGCCUAACACAUGCAAGUCGAACGCGAGAGGGGCUUCGGCCCGAUUGAGUGGCGAACGGGUGAGUAACGCGUGGGCGACCUACCUUCGAGUGGGGGAUAACGUCCCGAAAGGGACGCUAAUACCGCAUAACAUCCUGCUUUUGAAUGGGUGGAGAUCAAAGCCGGGGAUCGCAAGACCUGGCGCUUGAUGAGGGGCCCGCGUCUGAUUAGCUAGUUGGNGAGGUAACGGCCCACCAAGGCAACGAUCAGUAUCCGGCCUGAGAGGGCGGACGGACACACUGGGACUGAGACACGGCCCAGACUCCUACGGGAGGCAGCAGUGGGGAAUUGUUCGCAAUGGGCGCAAGCCUGACGACGCAACGCCGCGUGGAGGAUGAAGGUC